AUGUAAAAUGUCGUAACAAGGUCUCUGUAGGUGAACCUGCGGAGGGAUCAUUACCGAGCGAGGGCCGCCGC
rnacentral:rRNA from 1 species